CAGCCGCCACGGUAAUACGUAGGGUGCAAGCGUUAAUCGGAAUUACUGGGCGUAAAGCGUGCGCAGGCGGUUUUGUAAGACAGAGGUGAAAUCCCCGGGCUCAACCUGGGAACUGCCUUUGUGACUGCAAGGCUAGAGUACGGCAGAGGGGGAUGGAAUUCCGCGUGUAGCAGUGAAAUGCGUAGAUAUGCGGAGGAACACCGAUGGCGAAGGCAAUCCCCUGGGCCUGUACUGACGCUCAUGCACGAAAGCGUGGGGAGCAAACAGGAUUAGAUACCCCCGUAGUCCCUGUCUCUUAUAA
rnacentral:rRNA from 1 species